UACAGAGGGUGCAAGCGUUAAUCGGAGUUACUGGGCGUAAAGGGCGCGUAGGCGGUAUGAUAAGUGAGAUGUGAAACCCCUGGGCUUAACCUAGGACGUGCAUCUUAAACUGUGAUACUGGAGUACAGUAGAGGGCAGUGGAAUUUCCGGUGUAGCGGUGAAAUGCGUAGAUAUCGGAAGGAACACCAGUGGCGAAGGCGACUGCCUGGACUGAUACUGACGCUGAGGCGCGAAAGCGUGGGGAGCAAACAGG
rnacentral:rRNA from 1 species